CACUCACUGUGGAGUGCCGGCCUUGCCAGAAGAAGUAGACGCACUUCUCUUUGCCAGCCGCCCUCACCGAGUGCUCCCCCUUCUGGCGACUUCCCACUGCAAACACAGAACGGCAGAGGGACAGGUCAGCAGCUGACACACCUGAGGAGAAGCAAAUGCCCGGCUCACUUCCCCAGGGCCUGCGAGGACCAGUGGCAAAGAGACAGCCUCAGGCCUGGGGCUGGGGAGAAACCACUGGCACCUGGAGGGAAGGUGUGGCUCUUGUGGGCACAAGUGAUAGAGGAGCCGGACGAGUGUCACCAAGGGGCCAGAGCUUUUGCGUUGGCUACAGAGUGACUGCAAGUGCCAUCGGACUGUGCUUCUGCUGCUGGAGGGAUGGUCUGGAAUCUGAACGCUCCCUGCUUUAACUUAAUUCUCUAAAGCUGGACUUUUUCUAAGUUGUAAGUCAGCUGGAAAAGAUGUUGUUGGAGCUGGUUGGGAGAUGUCCAUUGUGUUUAUUGGGAAGAAAUGUAGAAAGGAAUCACCUGGGUCAAAUCGUAUUUCCUAGGGGCCUCCAAGUCAAUAGUCCCUGAAAGUCUUUGAACUCUUUGCUUUAUUUUUAAUUAAUUCACUUUAACAGGUUUACUCAUUCAUUCACUCACUAUUACCCUUUUUUUCCCUCCUCAUAACUAACAGCUAAAGUAAGAAAAUGGCUAAAUUAAACUAUGUCUGGUUUUAUGCAACACGAUUUCCCUUUUUGCAUUUUAGGAACGGACACUCCAAGUGCCUUAAUUUGUUCUUUAAAGCUCCCAGUUCCAUUACUCCAAAGGUGAAGAGAUCUGCCUGCCCCAAAACACACUCAAUUCCCUGUUAUUGUCGUCUUUGGUAACCAGCAUCAGAGAUGAUCACUGUACAUGCCACCUCUGCACGAGAGCAAGAGCGGAAAUCCACGACAGUGACUCUUCGGAAAUUAUUAUUUUGGGGAGAUCCACGUUAUCUCAUCCUCAAGUUAAGAACAGUAAUUAUGCUGUUCGUGCUGACAUGUCAGUGAUGAGUAUUUCCUGCACCUACAAUGUGAACACAGGCCAGGCACCUGCUAAACGUCAUAUACACCUGAUUAUAAAGUCCUGUGAGCUGAGUACUAUAAUCCCUAUUUUCCAGGUGAGAAAACCAAGGCUCAGACAGGGUAACUUUACCCAGCCCACACAGCUGGUAAGUGAGGGCCUGAGAUUCUGAAUCCCAGGCUGUAGGGCCCCAGUGCCUGUGGCCUUCCCUCAAGGGACACGGCUCCUUAUGAAAAAGGAAAGGAGCAGUUCCAAUUGCUUGCUCAUAAGAAAUUAAGCAGAUGAGAAAUGCCACUCCCUAUGGGAGACUGAAGUGGGGGAUGGUUUGAGCCCAGGAGUUUGAGACCAGCCUGGGCAACAUAGUGAGACCCCAUCUCUACAAAAAAUAAAAAAUUAGCCUGAUAUGGUGGCA
ensembl:lncRNA